UGCGUGCCGUGCGGACGCUGAACUUCCUUGGGAAAUUCUCCUUGCCGAGCCCUGUGGGAGUACAACAGGAACUAUUGGGAUGCUACAUUUCAGCAAACCGUCAGAGGAUUUCCUCAAUCAGAGGCUGCUCGGAGUGUGCAGUGAGCAGCCUCGCUGACAGAAACAUGGAGACCUAUGCAUGCAGCUGGCUAUGGCAACAGCCUCUGGGAGCUAGUCUGGUGUGCAACACCCUGAAUCGACAGCUAAGAGAAGUGGCCCCAUGCACGCACACACACACACACACACACACACACACACACACACACACACACACACACACACACACACACACACACAUACACACCAAUACACGCAUGCAAGCAUGCACACACACAAACACACGCACACACAAAUAUUCACACACUCACACACCUGCACGCAGACACACACACACAGCCACAGACAAGCUCUUAGAAUUAUUGCUUGUUUCAGGAUAAUAACGUGCAAUCCAACUUUUAACCGUCUAUUUGUGCUUUUUCUGAACAUAGCACAUAAUUCGAAAUCACCGUAAAAUGUUCCAGGUGAUAUUCAUUAGCCCCACUGGAAUGCCUCCACAAAGACAUACUUGCAUCUGUGUAAACCAGGCCUGUAAAGUAAGUGUGCCAAUGCUACAAGUAGAAGACAGGAAGUAGCCGUUGCUCUGCAUCUGCGCCUUUCGUCUGCAACUUAGCAACUCUCCACCACCCUGCCACUCAUUGUCCCAGCGCCCUGCACCGCAUUGUUCAAUCCAGAUGGUACGUUCUGAUGAGCCACUCUCCUCUUCCCUUUCCACAAGCCUCUCCUAUUAAUAACUGUCCAAUCUAACCCCGGUGUCAGCACGGGCGACACAUACACGUUUCAAUGUUUUUCACGGGGGGACAAUGGGAAUUCCCAUGGAUGAAAACAACAGGAUGAGACAACUUUCUUGUGUUUUGUUUGAUGUGAGGGUGGUUGGGCAUCGACAGUCAAUCGCCAAGCGAAUGUUCGGUCUGAUGGAUGAGGUGCUUUGGCAAAACCGCUGCAUGCCUUCUGUGGUCCUGUAACAAGAUAAUACUUAAGUCAGUGCGGCCUAUAGACAGCUAAUGAGGACAAAUAGUUUUGUCAAUAUUUACAUUAGAAGAAAAGUGCAUUACAGUAAUGCGUUGAACUGGAUGUCAAAACCCUCCACCCCCUUGACAGGAAACUGUCUGUUUCAGCGGUUUCAGGUUUCAGGCGCACCCAAUGAACAAUUGCAGAAGAUGUUGUUGUUAAUAUAUGUUAAGCUUGCGUUGCUACAUUUGGCAACCUCAAGUCAAGAAAUAGUCGGGAAUUGCAAAGAAAAUGCUACUUUAAAGUGUGAUGGAAUCAAAAAGGGCUCCUUCAACUCUAUCACAUGGACCAAGGUGCCGUCUUCUCGUAUAAUCAGAAGAAGCCGUGAUAAGAUACAGCACUAUCAGUUCAAUCGUACUGCUGACUUGACCGAAGAAAACAGCCUUCUUCUCAAUGACCUGACGCCUGAAGACUCAGGAAUCUACGAGUGUCAGAUCGGGGCAAAGGUCGGGGGUCAGAACACCGAGUCCAGGGUGGUCUUGGAGGUUCCAGUUUGUGUGACUGAGCCGCCCACGCCUGAGCCACCGGAUCUGCCGAUACCACACACAGUUUGCUGUUGCCUGGUCAUAUGCCUUCUCAAACUUCUUCUGCCCAUCAUUGUGGCCCAAGUAUUCCACGGCUUGCGGAGAGAUGUGAAGAGUGAAAACCCUGUGCCUCUGAGUUAAUUUAAGUUGCAAUAGUUGUAUUCCUCUGUGUACCAUAACAGCUGUCUAUGUGUGCAUCCCACCCUUUUAUGCUAUAUUAUCCAACCUAUGUUUUUUUUAAAGAAUCAUUUUCUGCGCUUGCUAUUGAAUGAUUGAAUCCUCUUUCUGUCAUCCUAAAGAUACCUUGUAAUGAGACAGCCCAUAGGGUAUGGGCAUAUAACCAAUGGCGGUUCUACACGGGGGCCUACGGGGGCCUGUGCCCCUGUAGACAUGUCCCUGGCCCCCCCUGUGGCCCCCCCGUGCUGACCAAAUAAAACAAUUAUGAUUUUACUGAUUUUAUGGAUGUAAUGCGACGCAACGUUCUACACGGGUAAAUCAGAGCGGCGCACCCAAACACAGAGGUGCUGGUCUUCGGUGAAUGAGAUCUCAGCAACUGCUCUUGGAGAAAGGAGCCACGAGUUCUCCUUUUGCAAGAGUCGAAGGCAAGCAAAACAAUUUCAUUUCGUAAGUGACUUGUUGUUCUUGCACAUAACAGUGUUACGGUAGUUCCUCACACUUAUAAUGAAAUUAAGUUUGUAAAUGUCUGGUCUCGAUAUAUUCAGAAACUUAAUAAAAUCUUAGCAAACUCAUCGAAGCAGAA